CAAAAUGUAGCUUAAACAAAAGCAUCUGGCCUACACCCAGAAGACUCCACGUAUAAUGGACAUUUUGA
rnacentral:tRNA from 1 species